rnacentral:rRNA from 1 species
UACAGAGGUCCCAAGCGUUUGUUCGGAUUCACUGGGCGUAAAGGGUGCGUAGGUGGUGAGGUAAGUCGGAUGUGAAAGCUCGGAGCUCAACUCCGAAAUGGCAUUGGAAACUACCUUGCUCGAGGGUUGGAGGGGGGACUGGAAUGCUUGGUGUAGCAGUGAAAUGCGUAGAUAUCAAGCGGAACACCAGUGGCGAAGGCGAGUCCCUGGACAACUCCUGACACUGAGGCACGAAAGCUAGGGGAGCAAACAGG